AAUGAACGCUGGCGGCGUGCUUAACACAUGCAAGUCGAGCGGUAAGGCCCUUUCGGGGGUACACGAGCGGCGAACGGGUGAGUAACACGUGGGUGACCUGCCCUCAGCUCUGGGAUAAGCCUGGGAAACCGGGUCUAAUACCGGAUAUGACUCCAUGACGCAUGUUGUGGGGUGGAAAGCCUUGUGCGGCUGAGGAUGGGCCCGCGGCCUAUCAGCUUGUUGGUGGGGUGAGGCCUACCAAGGCGACGACGGGUAGCCGGCCUGAGAGGGCGACCGGCCACACUGGGACUGAGACACGGCCCAGACUCCUACGGGAGGCAGCAGUGGGGAAUCUUGCGCAAUGGGCGAAAGCCUGACGCAGCGACGCCGCGUGAGGGAUGACGGCCU
rnacentral:rRNA from 1 species